rnacentral:rRNA from 1 species
GCAGCGGAGCGUGUGGUUUAAUUCGUAUGUUACACGAAGAACCUUACCAGGUCUUGACAUCCCUGACAACCGAGAGAUCGGGCGUUCCCCUUCGGGGGACAGGGUGACAGGUGGUGCAUGGUUGUCGUCAGCUCGUGUCGUGAGAUGUUGGGUUAAGUCCCGCAACGAGCGCAACCCUCGACCUUAGUUGCCAGCAUUCAGUUGGGCACUCUAAGGUGACUGCGGCUAAAAGUCGGAGGAAGUGGGGAUGACGUCAAAUCAUCAUGCCCCUUAUGACCUGGGCUACACACGUGCUACAAUGGGCGGUACAAAGGGUCGCGAACCCGCGAGGGGGAGCCAAUCCCAAAAAGCCGCUCUCAGUUCGGAUUGCAGGCUGCAACUCGCCUGCAUGAAGCCGGAAUCGCUAGUAAUCGCGGAUCAGCAUGCCGCGGUGAAUACGUUCCCGGGCCUU